AUGGCGGGCCGUGGUGGUGGAGCUGAUGCGGCAGGACUGCAGGUGGCGACUGCGCUGGUGACGAUGGUGUCAACGGGGGAAUGGCGGCGGCGCUCCGGCGAGCGGUGGCGGUGGCCUCGGCGUGCUCCGGUUGAGCCGUUGCGGCGCUUACCUCGGCUGUGGCUACCUAGUCAAUCACGACCGAGCAAGAAUGGGGGAAUACCAGCGACUAGGAAAAACGACGGACAUAGAAGUGUUUUGCAAACCGACGGAAUACCAGCGAUAACCAAGUGUAAAGUGAAACCGGGUGUAAAAGUUAGGACGCAAAAACGACGAUCCAAGUAG
rnacentral:rRNA from 1 species